UGGUUCUGGCAUCGAUGAAGAACGCAGCGAAAUGCGAUAAGUAAUGCGAAUUGCAGAAUUUCCGUGAGUCAUCGAAUCUUUGAACGCACACUGCGCCCUUUGGUAUUCCGAAGGGCAUACCUGUUCGAGCGUCAUUAUCCUUCUCUCCACACCCCCUGUGUGUGGGCUUUGGAACCAAGUCGGUCGCGAAUCGACUGGCUCCCAAAAGUAAUGACGGCGUCCGUGGGACCCUCGACACACUGAGCUUUUAUUCAAGGCACGUGUCGAGUUGCAAGGACCUUCCGGGCCGGUCCACCUUUAUUUUUCUCAGGUUGACCUCGGAUCAGGUAGGAAUACCCGCUGA
rnacentral:misc_RNA from 1 species